AAGUGACUCCUAGGUCGUCUCUCAAGGACCAAUUUUGCAGUUCAAAAUCGAGUCUAACACGAAGUGGGGGGUUGUGAAAUUGGUUUUGUUUGUGAAUGCAACUGACGAAAUUAAAAAUAAAAAUUAAACACAUUCGAACAUCAUAAAAAGCGUUAAAGAGAGUGAAAAUGUUAAACCCAAUACUAGACUAAACAAAUAUCU
rnacentral:lncRNA from 1 species